rnacentral:rRNA from 1 species
UUGAACGCUGGCGGCAUGCUUUACACAUGCAAGUCGAACGGUAACAGGUUAAGCUGACGAGUGGCGAACGGGUGAGUAAUGCAUCGGAACGUGCCCGAUCGUGGGGGAUAACGCAGCGAAAGCUGCGCUAAUACCGCAUACGAUCUGAGGAUGAAAGCGGGGGAUCGCAAGACCUCGCGCGAUUGGAGCGGCCGAUAUCGGAUUAGCUAGUUGGUGAGGUAAAGGCUCACCAAGGCGACGAUCCGUAGCGGGUCUGAGAGGACGACCCGCCACACUGGAACUGAGACACGGUCCAGACUCCUACGGGAGGCAGCAGUGGGGAAUUUUGGACAAUGGGGGAAACCCUGAUCCAGCCAUUCCGCGUGAGUGAAGAAGGCCUUCGGGUUGUAAAGCUCUUUCAGCAGGAACGAAACGGUCGGCUUUAAUAAAGUCGGCUAAUGACGGUACCUGCAGAAGAAGCACCGGCUAACUACGU